rnacentral:rRNA from 1 species
UACGUGAGGGUGCAAGCGUUAAUCGGAAUUACUGGGCGUAAAGCGUGCGCAGGCGGUUUAUAAGUUUGUCGUGAAAGCCCCGGGCUCAACCUGGGAAUUGCGAUGAAGACUGUAAGGCUAGAGUGUGUCAGAGGGGGGUAGAAUUCCACGUGUAGCAGUGAAAUGCGUAGAUAUGUGGAGGAACACCGAUGGCGAAGGCAGCCCCCUGGGAUAACACUGACGCUCAUGACACGAAGCGUGGGGAGCAAACAGG